UACAGAGGUCCCAAGCGUUGUUCGGAUUCACUGGGCUUAAAGGGUGCGUAGGCGGCGCGACAAGUUGGGUGUGAAAUCCCUCGGCUCAACCGAGGAACUGCGCCCAAAACUGUCGUGCUCGAGGGAGACAGAGGUGAGCGGAACUUAGGGUGGAGCGGUGAAAUGCGUUGAUAUCCUAAGGAACACCGGUGGCGAAAGCGGCUCACUGGGUCUCUUCUGACGCUGAGGCACGAAAGCUAGGGUAGCGAACGGG
rnacentral:rRNA from 1 species